GAUGAACGCUGGCGGCGUGCCUAAUACAUGCAAGUCGAGCGAACAGAUAAGGAGCUUGCUCCUUUGACGUUAGCGGCGGACGGGUGAGUAACACGUGGGUAACCUAUCUAUAAGACUGGAAUAACUCCGGGAAACCGGGGCUAAUGCCGGAUAACAUGUUGAACCGCAUGGUUCUACAGUGAAAGGCGGCUUUGCUGUCACUUAUAGAUGGACCCGCGCCGUAUUAGCUAGUUGGUGAGGUAACGGCUCACCAAGGCAACGAUACGUAGCCGACCUGAGAGGGUGAUCGGCCACACUGGAACUGAGACACGGCCCAGACUCCUACGGGAGGCAGCAGUAGGGAAUCUUCCGCAAUGGGCGAAAGCCUGACGGAGCAACGCCGCGUGAGUGAUGAAGGUCUUCGGAUCGUAAAACUCUGUUAUUAGGGAAGAACAAAUGCGUAAGUAACUGUGCGCGUCUUGACGGUACCUAAUCAGAAAGCCACGGCUAACUACGUG
rnacentral:rRNA from 1 species